GGACGCAAUUUUGAGGAGGUCGGAGCGGAAGGACGUCGUGGAGAUUGCUUGCGCUGGGGUGCCACACUUAGGCUGAGCUGCAGGUUUUCGCACAGUCGCGAGUUAACCUCUGCUUGCUCCAGAGGCCUCGUCCUAAUCCACCUCGGCUGACGGCGCGGGAUCCCUGGCUCCGCGAGAUAGGUACAACGAGGCUCAGAGAGCCUCAGCCUCACCAUGUGUGUCAGGAGCUGUUUCCAGUCCCCCCGUCUCCAGUGGGUGUGGAGAACAGCCUUCCUGAAACACACCCAGCGCAGGCACCAGGGGUCCCACCGAUGGACACACCUUGGAGGCAGCACCUACAGAGCGGUGAUUUUCGACAUGGGCGGAGUUCUCAUUCCUUCUCCAGGGAGAGUCGCUGCAGAAUGGGAGGUACAGAAUCGUAUCCCUUCUGGAACUAUAUUAAAGGCCUUGAUGGAAGGUGGUGAAAAUGGGCCCUGGAUGAGAUUUAUGAGAGCAGAAAUA
rnacentral:lncRNA from 10 species